CGGCAAAAGCUCAAAUUUGAAAUCUGGCCGCCCAGCGGUGGUCCGAAUUGUAAUUUGCAGAGGAUGCUUCGGGGUGGGCACCGGUCUAAGUUCCUUGGAACAGGACGUCAUAGAGGGUGAGAAUCCCGUAUGCGACCGGCCAGACCGCCCUUGUGAAGCUCCUUCGAC
rnacentral:rRNA from 1 species